GCGGGCGGGGAUCUCAGGCACGUGGGUUCCCGCCGCGGCGACUGGACGCCGGCGCUGGCAAGCGAGAGUCGCGGCCGGGGCACUGCGGGCUGACGAGCGCCCUGCGAGACCAAGAUUGGAGCAGAAGAGGCAGUCCGGGGAAGGCUCGGCCUGGCUGACUUCCCGUGACCCAGAGCCCAAGCUGUCUCCACCUCCCUGUCUCAGGAGCCCGGGCACUGCCUGCCCUGAGAAAUGCUGGAAGCUGGGCGAGGCCCCAGGCCAGGGGACCUGUUUUUCCUGUUUCCCACAGAGUUCCCUGCAGCUCAGUCCAGGGGUCCAGGCGGGUGCAUUCAUGAGUGAGGAACCUGAGCCUGCACUGAGCAUCCUGACAGCUGAGAGCAGGGGCUGGUCAGGGCGAUGGCCACAGACCCGGGCCUCUGGAAUGGCACCAUCAAUGGCACCUGGGAUGGGGAUGAGCUGGGCUACAAGUGCCGCUUCAAUGAGAACUUCAAGUACGUGCUACUACCUGUGUCCUACGGCGUGGUGUGCGUGCUCGGGCUGUGUCUGAACGCCGUGGCUCUCUACAUCUUCCUGUGCCGCCUCAAGACCUGGAACGCCUCCACCACAUACAUGUUCCACUUGGCCAUGUCGGAUGCGCUGUACGCGGCCUCCCUGCCCCUGCUGGUCUAUUACUAUGCCCGCGGUGACCACUGGCCCUUCAGCACAGUGCUCUGCAAGCUGGUGCGCUUCCUCUUCUACACCAACCUUUACUGCAGCAUCCUCUUCCUCACGUGCAUCAGUGUGCACCGAUGCCUGGGUGUCUUGCGUCCACUGCGCUCGCUGCGCUGGGGCCGGGCCCGCUAUGCCCGCAGGGUGGCCGUUGCCGUGUGGGUGCUGGUGCUGGCCUGCCAGGCACCCGUGCUUUACUUCGUCACCACCAGUGCACGUGGCGGCCGCAUUACCUGCCACGACACCUCGGCACCCGAGCUCUUCAGCCACUUCGUGGCCUACAGCUCCAUCAUGCUGAGCCUGCUCUUCGCGGUGCCCUUCGCCAUCAUCCUGGUCUGUUAUGUGCUCAUGGCUCGGCGGCUGCUAAAGCCAACCUACGGGACCACGGGAGGCCUGCCGCGGGCCAAGCGCAAGUCGGUGCGCACCAUUGCCGUGGUGCUAGCGGUCUUCGCCCUCUGCUUCCUGCCUUUCCACGUCACCCGCACCCUCUACUACUCCUUCCGCUCGCUGGACCUCAGCUGCCACACCCUCAACGCCAUCAACAUGGCUUACAAAGUCACCCGGCCACUGGCCAGCGCCAACAGUUGUCUUGACCCUGUGCUGUACUUCCUGGCUGGGCAGAGGCUCGUGCGCUUUGCUCGGGAUGCCAAGCCACCCACAGACCCCACCCCUACCACCCAGCUUCGCCGCCGGCUGGGCCUGCACAGGUUCAACAGAACUGACACUAAGAGGACAGAAGACUCGGCCAGCAGUGAGAACUCUAGACAAACAGAGCCCACACCGUCUGGUGGUGAAAACACUAAGGACGUCUGGCUGUAGGACCUGAACCCCUUGGGCCUGUGCCAGUUUGUGUCGGGUGAGACUAUAGACUUGUUCAAAUGGGACAGUCUCCCCAGAUAUGGACCAUCAGUGAAUCAGGCCGGAUGGUCAAGGGGGCCGUGACCCCAGUGCUCUGUCAUUUGACAGGGGCGCAGUUUGUUCUCUGUGGUCCAGAGAGCUCAGCAGUCCCCACAUCCCCAGACACCAUUUGUAUGUGAGAUUUGGGGAGUAAGGUUUUAAGAAAGGCAAGGGUUUGGGGCCAGUGCUGCCCCUGGCCUGAAUCCCAUGUAAAUACCUGGCUGUGCCUGCCAAGGUACCUAGGCUGGGCUCCAGACUAAUCAAGUAAAGUGGAGAAACAGGCCCAGAGAGGAAAGUGACUUAACCAAGGUCACACAGCCAAGCCUGCGCCUGAGCUACCUGGGAGGGACAGGGUUGCAAGUUGACCAGAGGACCCUGGUAAGGAGUCAGGGAUGAGCCAGAGGUUCCCACGAUGAGUUGGAGUGGUCUGAGUGCCACCGUGGGCUCAGCUCUGAGGAGGACGCCCAGCCCAAGGGAUGAACGUCUGGGAACUGAUGUCAUAAACCCAUCUGGAGGCUGGGAGCCAGUUUGAGGCUGGGACUUGUACUAAAGGUGUUGUUACCUGCUGAGCCGGACCCCGUUGUGUAGUUGGAGGUUGGGGAUACAGCCUGGGGAGCUCUCACCAUCCACACUAGGGUCCUUUCUCCAACCUGUUCUCUUCUGCCACCUGCCUUCCCAGUAGAUGCCUCAGUGGUGGUCUCAUACGAGGAAUAUCCUCUCCAGACCCCAGGUCAUCCUCCACUUUAACGUUAACUGGCUUUUAUGCCUGGUUUUGCUGGGUGCAGAGGGGAGUCAGGUGGGGUCCCAGUCCUCAGGAUCCCCCAGUUUAGGAUUUAAUGGCGAUGACGAGUCAUGUGCUGGUAAAAGUUCAACCAUUUAGCUGACUCUCGUCAGGGGGUGAGGGGGUGAGGGGAACCCCUUAUUUGCAGCAUUGCCAGUUUCUGUGGUACAAAUACUCCUGCCACAGCCCGUUUCAGACUACCAAUGUGAUAUCAGCCUCCUUGCAAAAUUCCUGAAAAAUUAACAGAGGGCUCUUGAGAGCAGGUACAAGUUUCUCUAGCACACCACUGGAUAAUGCUGAGUGGUUGGGGCAGUGGACCAGGGCAUCAGGGAAGGCUUCCUGGAGUGGGUGGACUUCUGAGAAAAGCACUUCAUCAGAGAAGAACAUCCAGGUGCAGGUGCAUUCUAGGCAAAGACAUGGGGGCAGGAGAGCAGGGCCUGCAGGAACUGGAAGCCGGCUGGGCAGUUGGCGCCCAUGUUCAAGGCAGGAAUGGGGGGGGGGGUCACAAGGAGGCCAAGUCAGGGCUCCCUCCUUGCCCUGACCAUGAGGUUUCUUUUGCACUGGGGAUAAGCGUGGGAGAGAUUCACUCUUCCUGUCCAGUCCUCUGCCUCUUGGGAAAAUCCUGGCAUAAUGGUUGGUGCUCGGGCUGGGUCAGAGCUUAGUGUGGGGGAGAUGAGUCUCACCUGGGACAGGUUCUGGGUCUAGCCAGGACCACUCUGGAGAUAUGUGGAGUUCAUCUGGACAGGGCCCAGCCCUAGCCUUUGGGCAGGAAUAGGGCAAAACUGACAGACCUCACUUUGAACUUCAAGGAUAAGGAUUCUCUCUCUCUCUCUCUCCCUCUCCCUCUGGGAGACCCCUUGCCCGAUGGGCCCACUCUGCCUGAGAGAAGGUCCUUCUUUCCCCACCCCACCUACACCCGCCUCCUAUGACUUCUCCACCCUUCCCACUCUGCCUCUUCAAAACGGCGCCCCCCAGAGGUUGAUCACAUGGGCUCCCCCAUGUGACAGGGACCUGUCAUAAGCCAUGACCCAAAUGAUUCCUCUGCAUCGUGCAAUGUGGGUGACUUGCCCAAAGUAGUGUGAAAUGCUCACCUCCCACAUUCUAGGUUCUAUACUCCUGUUAAUGUAGCCUGGGUCCUUAUGAGCAUUUUUGCGAUGAUCUCUUACAGUCUGUCCUUGAGCCUUUCUUGCAGGCCUGAGCCUAUCUCUUUUUUACCAGCUGCUGCUCAGGCUGAACCCAAUCCCAGUUUAUAAGGUGCCUCUACCCAGGUGAGAUACUCUACUGGUCAGGAGUGUUAAUGCUGAGCUCUGACCCCCUCAGCCCUGCUCAGACUCAGAGGCAGGGAGUUAUACAUUGUGACUUUGGGGGCUCUCGAGUGUCUAUCUGUGGUUGGGGAUGGGGCUGUGUCCACCACAGGCCCAAGUUCCCCUAUAGUCCCCAUUCCUUUCAUGUCCUGCCCAGUUACCCCUCCAGCAGCUGUCCUGGAGACCCCAAGAACUGAGAGCCCCACAGCACAUAGAGACCACAUAGAGGCCUAGUGCCAGGAUGCCUUCCUUAAACCAACUGCCUACAGAUUUCUAAGGACACAGGACCUAGGGGACAGGAAGGCCUGACUCACCAUCUAAUCCUGUGGCAGGCACUGGUGGGGGUGGGGAAUGAAGACCCUAAGGGAACCAGGGACAGGCCCAGGGCCCCUCCUGCGGACCCUAGUCAAACUGGCUCUUCGGUGUGGACAUCUGGCCUUGUUCUCAGUGCCCAGGCCCCCCGCCUGGUGGGUGAGGUUCUUUACCCUGUUGCCUUAUACUAUUUUCAGCCCAAGUAAGAACAGGAUUUUCCAUUCCCAGCCCCAGACCAUUGUCCAGCAGUGACGUGGAGGGACCUGCCUGCUCUCAAAAUAUCUCCUCUUACUCUCCGAGCCUUGCUGCCCUUUCCCCACCUCCUCGCCCUGACAUCACUUCCUGGGGCUGUUGACUCCUGAAGGACGCUGUGAAAGGUCACAGCCCCUGACAGGGACCCCAGGGAUUAUCCAGCCCAGCUGCAGACUCAAGGCCAGAAAGGGGCAUGGCCUUGUCCAAGGUCACUCAGCAGGUCAGCGUGGCGCCUGGUCGUGUGCCAGGGGCUCGGGCUGCCCCUGCGGCUCUGCUCCAUUUAGUGCAGGUCAGUGCCUUUGUGGGAAUCCUGCCAUCACCCCCACCACCCCAGCUCUUCCCACCUCUGAUGGAGCUGGGGAGCUGAGGCCAGGGACCUGGGGUGGAGGGGGGCAGGGAAAGCAGCUCGGAGGAGUAAAUGCCUGCUGAUUGGCCUACAGCAGCUCUUCUCAGUGAGCUCCAUGCAACGGGGGCAGGGGCCCUGGCACAUAGGGGUCUCUGCCCCGCGUGGCAUUUGUCCCAGGGCCCAGGAGGGACACUCUCACCCUCCAAAGGCUAGGAAAGGCCCUGGCCAACAUGCCCUCCAGACACAGUUACUCCUAUCUUGGUCCAGGUCAGGCCACCAAAGCUACCCCUCUGCCACCACCCUUGUCAAGGCAGAUUUGGGCUGAUCUGUUUAGAGCCAGGCCCCUGAGGAAGGGAGCUAAGGUACUGACCCAUGUCCCAGGCACCAGGCAGGGCUCUCUCACAUCCAUUAUUAUUUAUUCUUUACCACCACCGUGUGAAAUAGACAUUAUUACCCCCAUUUAGCAGAUGAGAGGACAGGCUCUGAGAGGUGAGGACUUGCUCCAGGUUAUACAGGCAGUAAAUGGGUGAGUCAAGAUUGAGUUCAGGUCCAUCUGAUGCCCAGACUAGUUCCCUUUCCAGUAUCCCAUGCCACUUGCAACCCCUGCGGGGCAGGAGAGUUUGUAAGCGACCCUUUGUGUGAUUCAAGAUGAGAGAGGCAGUCUAGUGAGGAUGCAGUUAAGAGCACCAGUUCUCUGCCCAGACCACCUGCCUCUGAGGGUUGUCUCAACUUCUUCCAGCUGUGGCAUCUUGGGCAAAUCAAUCUUGCAGCACCUCCAUUUUCUCAUUUCUAGAAGGAGAUACUACCUCCCAUGUAGGGCAUUGGGAGGCUUACCUGAAUGAAUACACAUGAAGCACUUAGAACAGGGCCUGGCACAUGAUAAGCAUUUUCACUCCAGGCACUGUGCCAAGGGGAUACAGAGGCGAGCCAGCUGGACCCUGCCCUCAGGGAGUUGACAUAACUUAAUAAGUAACCACAUUGGGAUAAGUGAGUUGAAGGAAAGGACAGUGUGUCCGGCCAGUGAGCAAUAGAGUGUCCGCUGUGGCUGAGGCUUCCCCAGGGUGUGGGAGGAAAGAGCAGGUCCAUCCUGGGGUGAGGUGUGGGACCACCUUCUGCCCUGCUUGGCACUGGGUGGCUCUCAGGCUCAUGAGCUUGUGUGUGUUUACAGAACCUUGUCCAGGUGAUGGGCUGUGGAAGGGCAGUAAGGAGAAGUGAUGGCAGGAGGAGGAAGAGGAGGAUGUCUCUGAUCUUCCAGAGCCCGCCCCUAUGGGCUUGAGGGCUCCCACCCACCCAUGGCAGCAGGCUUAGCCAUUUCUCCCUGACUGGUGGUGCCCACCACAGGGUGCUGCAGCCUCUCCUUGGUUUAUCCAAGAGUCAGAGACCCAGGGCUGGAGGACUGGCCUGAGGCUGGGCCAGAGCAGACAAUGGAUGGGCAUUUUUGCUGUGUGACCUGAGGCCAACUGCUUGCCCUCUCUGGGUCACUCUAUAGAACCCGGAGACCUUGCUUCCCACAUUCCAGUUCUCCCUACCUUAGGGCAGCAGUCACCCAGAUUUUUCAUCAAAGACACAACUAACAGCUACUCCCCCAGGCACUCCCAAGACCCCAUGAGCCCUCAGUUCUGAGGACUAGAGUGGCACAGUGGGUCUCCCCUAGUAUCAAGUGACCAGAAAGGUGAAGUGACACCACUGGCACCACACAUUGCCUUGGAGUGGAUCCAGUUGAAUGUCUGAUGCUUCUGCCUCCUGUGGAGUGGAGACUGGAAUUUGGCCAGGAGUCACUGGGCUGCAGGAUGAAGGAUGCAUUUACCUUCCCCAGGGGUAUGUGCUUGAGGUGGGGGGUGAAGGGUGGGGGAAAUGAGCCCCAGAAGCCAAACUCAUCCUCCUCUGUCCUGAUGCACCAUGUGACAUGGUGAAUACUUUUUUCUCUCUGGGCCUCAGUUUCCAAUUUCCCCAUAUCAACAGGCCUUGGCUCUGCCCAGCCACUCCAGCCUCUUCAGUAGGGCUUGUCUCUCUCUUGGCUCUGGCUCAGCCAGGUGUCCAGUCUCAGCCCUGUCCCCGCUAGGAACAAUGGGCAAGACCGAGCCAGCCCCCAGGGCCUCACCUGAGACUAUUUUCAGCCCUUGGAGAUGAAGUCAGAAAAGGAUUUUCCACUCCCAGCACAAUGGCUGCGCUGCACCAUUGUCCAGCAGGGCAUCCGCCUGCCCCAAAGUAUCUCCCCUGCUUCUACCCUCUGGGCCUCCCUGCCCUGCUUCUCACUUCCCAAACUUGACAUCACUUCCUGGACCUGUUACUCCUAAAAGCCACUGUGAAACAGCAUGUGAGCCCCCUGGGAGACCUGACCAAUUGGAAUCAGUUUUCCCUCUUGGCAGGGACCCCAGGGAUUAUUUGGCUGCUUUGAGAGAUUGGAGACCAGAGAGGGCUGUGCCUCACCCAAGGUCAUGCAGCGGUCAGCAUAGAGACUAAAUGUGAGGCCAGGGCUCUCUGGCUUCUUCUGUUUCCUCCAUCAGCACUGGUCUGUACCUCCUGGGAGUGACAGCUCAUCUUGGAAGGCCUGGGGUGGACAUCCUGGGGAGAAGCCUGGGUGAUGUGGGUGAGAGGGGGUGUACCUUGGGUUCUGACCUUGGAGCUCCCCAUUCAGUUCUGUUUGUACCAACUGUGGCUUUAGUGUGUGCUGAACUCAGAGUUACCAAGUAGCAGCUUCAGGGAAAGGAGGAGGUCUGGGGACACAGGGAAGCUGAGGCAGGAAGAUCAGGGUUCUGGCCCAGUUUAGCCACCACUAGCUCUGUGAUUGCAAACUCAGUUUCUUCAUCUGUAAAAUGGAACUGAUAGUACCUCCUUUUCCAGUUUACUGAACAGUGAGCAUGCAGUAAGGCACAAACGUGCAACUGUUUUAUUUUUCUCCCAUCGACUCUCUCUGCUUGAUGAUGUCUAAUUUCCCUUUUCCAUCCAUAACUGCAUAUUUGGUAAACUCCAAAACUUUGAGUCACUUUUGGAUAACAACUAAAGUUCAGUCCAGUUUAAAAUUCCAAUCGCCUACUUAAUUUACUUCUCCCUCCUCCUCUUCCCCUGUGCUGGGAGGACCCUGCUCCCUCUCCUUUGCGUGCCCCUCUCCUCUGGAUGUGGGGCAAGGUGAGGAGGAAAGGGACCAGUGGAUCAUCCCCAGGACUGCCACAGCCCCCUCUUGCUGUCCUUGCUUCUCUGAUCCUGACAACCUGACAUCAGUGCCCCUCUGCAUGGAGUCUCCCAAACACCAGACCACACUUUUGUAAGAGUCUCUUCAUUAAACAAUCCCAAAGUCACCAAUUUGAGCAUGACCCAUCUUUCCUGCUGAGACUCUUUAACUGAUAUACUCCAGUCUCCCUGAGUAAUUUUCCUAGAGCAUCCCUCACCUGGCUUGAGAGUGGGAAAGCCCUUGUCCGGCCCCCUCCCGCCUCCCACUAGGUUGUAAACUCACAGCUGCAGAGAUGUCAGGUGUUCAGCUUGUAGAGUCAAGAGUGAUGGGUGGGGAACUUCCCUGGUGGCACAGUGGAUAAGACUCCGUGCUCCCAACGCAGGGGGCCCAGGUUCGAUCCCUGGCCAGGGAAUUAGAUCCCACAUGCAUGCCGCAACUAAGGAGCCCACCUGCCGCAACUAAGACCUGAUGCAACUAAAUAAAUAAAUAAUAAUUUUUUAAAAAAAGUGAAGGGUGGUAGAGAGCUGGGGUAAUAAACUCAGAGAAGGUUUCUAACCCCAAUUGUUUUCAGGUUACUUUAGUAGGUGGGUAUUUUACCCCUCUGUGUCCUCAGAUUUAUGUCCUGGAGCCAAAUUCCAAAUCAGCAGCCGCAUGAAAAGUCCUACCUCACUGUGGGAUUAAACUGUCAGACCAGCCUUUGUGACCAAAGCAAUUGCAAAAUGUGGGGGAGGAAAUUAAAAGUCGUCACCCAGCCUGUGGUAGUGUGUGUGUGUGUGUGUGUGUGUGUGUGUGUGUGUGUUUAUGUCUGUGUUUAUGUCACACACAGUGGUCACAUCUGUGUGUGAGGGAGAAGGCUGAGGGGUAGGGGCUGUCCCGGCAGGUACCAAAUAGAUACCUGGAGACAGAAGGGCCACAGGUGGGUGCCUAGCCUGUGGGAGAAAGAGAGGGACCAGGAGGGGCUGCCAUGAAGUCAAACUAAAACCAGGAGAUGGAAGUAGACAGGGCUGGGGAUGACAGGAAGAGAUAGGAGUGGGGAGAGGAUCCAGCUGCCAGCUCUGUAGACCCCCUUUCCUUCUCUCCCUCGCCAUUCUUCCUCCCUUUCCUUCAGUUUCCUCCCUCCUUACUGCCCAUUUCCCUCACCCUUUUGUUCCCUGUCCCCAGAAUUCCUGGGAACAAAGGAAAUCAAAAGGGGCAGUUCAGAGCUUCAGACGUAUGCCUUCAAUCUGAGUGCUGGCUCAGCUCCCUCGCCUGGCUGUGCUUAGUCUACUGUGGGUCCUGGGUUCACGGAUGCUGCCCUGCUGCCCCCUGGUGCCCAGAGCUGGCGGCAGAGGGAGGAAUGGGGGCUGGGGUCCAGACUCUCACCUGUGGAGUGAUGAGAAGAAAAUGAUCCUGCUGGCAGCCAGGUUGUUGGAGUGUGCGAGAUAGGGGUAGGACUGAGAAUUGAAACUGGGAACACAAUUUGCAAAACAUACCUGAUUUACAAAACAGUUAACAGUGCCUGACCAAGCCGUGAUGUCCAUCUCAGACUAAGCUCAUAGAGGACAGCUCUAUGAUGUCCUCUGGCCAUGGGUAUUCCUUUAACCUCCUGCUUACCUUCCAGAGGUCCCAGAUGGUGUUCCCCACCUUCACUGGCUGCCAGGAACACACCCAAACCCUGGGUCUGAGGACACAGCUGAAUGUUGGGGAGUGGGGCUAGAGAGGCCCUCCCAAAGGACUUGCAGAUCUGGGGCUGGGCUCUAGGCCUUGAGGACCAGCCUCUCCAUCUGGUCUGGGAGCUCUUCUGAAGGGAAGUCAGAAUCUUCUCCCCUCUCUGAAGCUGGGGUCUCUGAAAGGGUUUAUCCCGCCAACAAGGGUCCUCUCUGUACCUCCCUAACACCCUGACAUCAUUUGCAUCUUCCCCCCACAUCCAGAGAUGGAGAGAUCACUCCCUCCUAGGCAACCCCUGUCCCUGUGGGAGAGCCCUCCUCAAAGGAGCCCUGUCUCCCCAGCUUGGCCUUAGGGGCACACGGCACACCUGCCCUCAGCCCAAGGCAGCCACGGGAAGGUGUCACCAUGACCCUGAGUUGGCUCUUCUCCAAGUUGGCAUCCCCAGCUCCCUACCCUACCCCCUUCCAGGGCUACCCUGCCCCACUCCAGGGCCUCCACCCCUACCAGAAGCCCUGCCCUCUGUAUGCCCCCAGAAGUCCUUGCCUCCUUGAAUGGCAGCCUCUACAACAGGACUCCAUCCCCUGGGAGGUGUGACUGAGCUCAGCUGCUCCUCCCGGCGUCCCCUGUGACACCAUCUGGGAAGAAAUAAGAGCUUACCCACCACCCACGAGAUGCCUGUGAUUUGGAUCCCACCAGCAUGGCACUAGAUAAAAUGCAUCUGACUCUCAAUCAUGAGGAAGGGGAGGCCCUUGGGAUAGAGUGGGAAGCAAAAAUUAAGGGGGGGAGCCUCGGCCAGCCCUCUAGGCCCCACCCCACAUCCUCACCCCAGACCCACACGCCUUGUCCACAAGCUUUCACUCCACCUAGACCCGGGUGCCCUCAUCCACGAGGCACAGAAGCACAUAAACCUUGAAGACUUAUAUUUGAAUCUUGGCUCUGCCACUCAUUAAUCAGAUGACCUUGGGCAUCUCAGUUUCCUCGUCAUAAAAAAGAGGGAUAAUCGGGCUUCCCUGGUGGCGCAGCGGUUGAGAGUCCGCCUGCCGAUGCAGGGGACACGGGUUCGUGCCCCGGUCUGGGAAGAUCCCACAUGCCGCGGAGCGGCUGGGCCCGUGAGCCAUGGCUGCUGAGCCUGUGCGUCCGGAGCUUGUGCUCCGCAACGGGAGAGGCCACAGCAGUGAGAGGCCCGCGUGCCACAAAAAAAAAAGAGGGAUAAUCACACUCACUUUACAUUCUAUUUGCUUGUUUGUUUGUUUGUUUAUUUAUUUAUAUUUUUGGCUGCAUUGGGUCUUCGUUGCUGCUUGCGGACUUUCUCUGGUUGCAGCGAGUGGGGGCUACUCUUCGUUGUGGUGUGUGGGCUUCUCAUUGUGGUGGCUUCUCUUAUUGCGGAGCACAGGCUCUAGGCGCACAAGCUUCAGUAGUUGUGGCACGCAGGCUCAGUAGUUGUGGCGCACGGGCUUAGUUGCUCCGCAGCAUGUGGUAUCUGCCCGGACCAGGGAUCGUACCCGUGUCCCCUGUAUUGGCAGGCAGAUUCUUAACCACUGCGCCACCAGGGAAGUCCCUAAUGUUUUAUUUGUAUUGUCUGUCCCUUCCUGAAAGCUCCCAGAGGACAGGAGUUUUUGUCUAGUUUUGUCACUGCUUUACCCCAGUGCCUAGAACGGUGCCUAGUGCAUAGUAGGUGCACAACAAUUACUUACUUACUGAAUGAAUGAGAUUCAUAGUGAGGAAUAAACGAGAUAAACCGUGUAACUGUUUUGCAGAACAUCUAGUACCAGUGGGUACUCAUAUAAUUCCUUUCCUUUGCAAAGCAAGUCAAAUUAAUUAUUUCGUGUAAGUUUCACAAGGGCCCUUUGAGGCAGGAACCUUAUUAUUAUUGAUUCAUUCGUUAUUUAUUCAACAAAUAUUUACCAAGAUCCUACUAUGUUGUAGGCAUUGUUGUAGGUAUUUGGAAAUCAUCAGUAAAUGAAAAAGAAAGAUCCUUCCCUCGGAGCUUAUAGCCUAGUAGGGUGAGAGAGACAAAAAGCAACAGAUAUCAUAAAGUGUAAAUUCCGUGCUGUGUUAGGAGGUGACAAGUGCUGUGGGGAAAACAGCAGAGUGGAAAGAGGGAUUAGGAGGACAAGGAGGAUGUGAUUUUUAAAUAGGGUGGUCAGGUGAAGCCUCAGGAGAGGCUAUAAAGAGGGCAUUCGAACAGACUUGAAGGAGAGCCUUUGAGCCGGAGGGAACAGUAAGUGCAAAGGUCUGGCUGCCCGAGGAAGGAGGCUGGUGCCUGGGGUGAAGACGGAAGAAGUGAAGUGGAGGCCAGAGGUUGGUGGAAUCUUGUAGGACAGUGAGUGAGGUGGAAAGCCAUUGCAGAGAUACAGUGUGCCUUAUGUUUUAGAAGGCUAAAUCUGGCUUCAGUGUGGUGAAUAAACCACAGUGGGGUGAGGAUGGGAGCAGCCAGAGCAGGAAGGAGCCAAUGAAGAAAUCCAGGUGAGAGAUCAUGAGGAUUAGGACCAGAUGGAGGCAAUGGAGGUGGUGAGAAAUGGACUGAUGCCAGAUGUAUUUUGAAGGAAGAUCAAGCAGGAUACCUGACAGUUUUUUCUUGCAGGGUUUGGCAGGCAGUAAAACCAAGAUCCAGAGAAGACCUAGCGAGGUGCCACACAGCUGGUCAGAGGGUGGGGUGGAGGAGUGGAGGAUGGGGCCGGGCUGUGUGGAAGGUCCCCAGGUCUAGGGCAGAGUGGGAGAAAGGCUUCUGCUGCAGAAGGUCACAAACCAGCCCCAGGGCAUCUGGGCAUUGAUUUGAUCCAUGGCUUUUUUCCUCUUCCCCUGAAUUCCCCUGUGAUGGCCUUUUAAUUGAGUCCAUCUUUUCCAAGAACUCGGGCUGAGCAAACGCCAGAGUGUUUGCCUAUUAUUAAGUAGAUUAGUAAAUGGCCCUGGGUCCUGGGCUGCCAGCAAAGUCAGAGUAGCUGCACAGCAUCUCUGAGGAGUAACCCCAGGCCCUUGGUGCACUGCAGGUCUGUGCCAGGUGGCUUACCUUUGCCCAUGCUGCCCCACCAUCUGCAGUGUCCUUGCUCACUUGGUAAAUGCCACCUCCUCCUCCUCCAAGCCUUGCGGAUCACCAUCCCUGCCCUCGCUGGCUCAUCUCCCUGGGCAGAGAACUCACACAAGUGCCGAGGAGGGUUGCCUCAUUGCAGGGCCUGCCUCUGACAGAGGGCAGACAUGGUCCAACUCAAAGUUAUCAGGGAAGAGAGAGCAUGUACUUCACCCAAACAGCAUCGACAUCACAAUCCUGCUAAAGUAAAAGAGACUUUUCCGUCUCUCCCAGUUCCUCCUCAGGAGGAGGGGGAGGGGGGCAGAGAGAGGAGGAGGAGAGGAAUUAGUGUUAAAUUCACAAAACGGAAAUUAGCUGGAAAUGUAAGCUCGACUGGAGAAAAAGAAAACUGUCUCAUGGCAAUAACAAAUUCAGACUGUUAAAAAAAAUUGGUUAAUUCCAUUUUAGACAUUAUCUACCGAUUUCCUCUGUAAAAGAUGAAGAUUUAGUUGUCUUCCCUCAUCCUCCUGUUGCAAUUUUUGGUUAAAUCAAUAUUCAGUGCUUACAUUUUUAUGACUUUGAAAGUAUUGUUGGCAGUAAACAUCUAAUAGUGUUCUAUGAUUACAUUUUCUUUCUUGCAUAACUUUUUGUUUCUCCUGGAGUUAAUAACUGCUUUACUGUACAACCCUAAGAGGGACAUAUUCUAAGGACAAAGAGAAUUAUAAAGAAAUCUUAAACAGUGUUUGUAAUCAUAUCAUGAGUGGCUAUCGAAACAUGGCUUGUCUGAACUGAGAUGUGCUGCAAGCAUAAAACACACACUGGAUUUUGAAGACUUACUACAACAAAAAAAGGUCUAGGCGGUGAUCAUCAAUGGCUGUGUCCCCACUAACAGUCUCAUAACACCUAAACCCACUGACCAAUAUUAACAUCACAAAAAAAGAGAGAGGAGACUAGUCAUAUCUUGCUGAUGUGGUACAAAAGGAAGUACACACCACCACCUGUGAAUUGUUGCCAAAAAAUUGAUCCUGUAUCUGAUCAAACUGAUUUAACUAUCAGUUUUCAGGAGCUACAGGGCACAGAAGAAUAUUAGCCAGAUCCAGAAUCUGAGAACUUUUACGGGAUAAAUGACCUGUUUCUUCAUUUAAAAAAAAAAAACAAAAAAAACCAACCAACAACAAAACAAAACAAAACACGGGGAAAAAAUGGCAGAGGAGUAAAUAUAGGAAUGGAAGUUGAAGCCAGGGUCCCAUUUCUACCCACUGCUACAAAGGUUUAAGUCCCAAAUCCCUAAAUGAUCAGAAGCCAUUUGUCUCGAAGGGAAACAGGGGUAGGAAAUCAGAAACGGAGAAGAGACUGGACUACAUUUUGCUUUUCUCCACUCUUCUAUGCUGAAUCCCUCCCCCAGAAUAUGUUGAAGUCCUAACACCCAGUACCUCAGAAUGUAACCUUAUUGGAGAAAGGAUCUUUAAAGAGGCAAUUAAGUUAAAAUGAGGUCACUGGGGUGGGCCCUAAUCUAGUAGGACUGGUGUCCUUGCAAGAAGAGGCUAUUUGGAUACAGACACAACAAAGGGAAGGUGGUAUGAAGACACAGGGAGAAGAUGGCCAUCUACAAGCCAAGGGGAGAGGCCCUCAGAAGGAACCAAUCCUGCUGUCACCUGGAUCUUGGACUUCUAGCCUCCAGGACGGUAAGAAAAUUAAUUUCUGUUGUUUAAGCCACCCAGUCUGUGGUACUCUGUUACAGCAGCCCUAGCAGACCACUUAGUGUGUAUGGUACUCAUGAGAAUCAUCCCAUCUUUUAUAGUUUGAAAGAGAGGUGCAUUUUCUUUGCACAUGUCUCCCCAUAUGGGAAUGCCUGGCGGAAACUACUUCUUAGGACCUGAACUCACCAUUUCUGGGUAAACAAGUUGUCACCAUGGUGGGGAACCUGGCCCUAAUCACUCUAAUUGGCCUAAGUUCUUACCUUUACACCUGAAUGCUAUGUUUUCUCUUCAACAAAUGCUUCAUGGAUUUCUGUUGCUGUUGAUGUUGACUUUUGUAUCAAAGAACAUCAUCUUCUGUGUUGGGUGCAUGACUCAGCUGACUUUCUGUCUCUUCAUUAUCAUCUCUAAAUACUAUGUGUUGACAUUAAUGGCCUGUGAUUGCUUUGUAGCUAUUUAUAAUCCAUGAUUGUAUAAGGCACCACAUCUCAUCAGAUGUGUUCGGUGUUGAGGUUUGGGUUUGUGCAAGCGUGUGUGUGUGUGUGUGUGUGUGUGUGUGUGUGUGUGUGCGCGUGUAUGAGAUGGGAUUUGCUGGAGCCACUGCCCACGCAGGACAGAAGCUUAGGCCAACCUUCUGCAAUGUCAAUGUCAUCAACCAUUAUCUAUAUGACAGCUUCCUGGUCCUCUAAACACCUUGUAGCAGCACCUAUAUCAGUGAGGUGGUGGUUUUCACUGAAGUGGGCAUUGCUAUCACAGUACCUAGUCUUCAUUUCUUUUCAAUUUCAUCCAAUUUGCUCAAGGCAAAUCAAAACCAUGUGGCACCUGCCUCUCUCACAUCAAUGCCAUUUCUCUUUUCUUUGGCUAGUAGUAUUCCUGUAUCAAACAUU